AAAUUAUUUAAACUCUGCAAGAUAUUCCUUCAUUUUCAUAUAAUGAUAUUGAAUGUGACCAUUCUUAUGACAAUAGUAGCAUUCUCUAUUUUCAAGCUCUAUUUAUGGUCUUGAGCUCGAUUUACUAUUCUCUCUCCAAUUAUUUUUAUGUGGAUUGCUUCUACCAUGACAAGAGUCAGCAACAAAAGCUUCACCUUCAUUGUUACUACCUAUCUUCUUGAACUCCUCAUCAUCCAAAAUAACUGCAGUGCGGUAACCUCCCGCACUUCAAAGUCUCCUUUCCAACUGU
rnacentral:misc_RNA from 1 species